rnacentral:rRNA from 1 species
GACGAACGCUGGCGGCGUGCUUAACACAUGCAAGUCGAACGGAAAGGCCCUGCUUUUGUGGGGUGCUCGAGUGGCGAACGGGUGAGUAACACGUGAGUAACCUGCCCUUGACUUUGGGAUAACUUCAGGAAACUGGGGCUAAUACCGGAUAGGAGCUCCUGCUGCAUGGUGGGGGUUGGAAAGUUUCGGCGGUUGGGGAUGGACUCGCGGCUUAUCAGCUUGUUGGUGGGGUAGUGGCUUACCAAGGCUUUGACGGGUAGCCGGCCUGAGAGGGUGACCGGCCACAUUGGGACUGAGAUACGGCCCAGACUCCUACGGGAGGCAGCAGUGGGGAAUAUUGCACAAUGGGCGGAAGCCUGAUGCAGCAACGCCGCGUGCGGGAUGACGGCCUUCGGGUUGUAAACCGCUUUCGCCUGUGACGAAGCGUGAGUGACGGUAAUGGGUAAAGAAGCACCGGCUAACUACGUGCCAGCAGCCGCGGUGAUACGUAGGGUGCGAGCGUUGUCCGGAUUUAUUGGGCGUAAAGGGCUCGUAGGUGGUUGAUCGCGUCGGAAGUGUAAUCUUGGGGCUUAACCCUGAGCGUGCUUUCGAUACGGGUUGACUUGAGGAAGGUAGGGGAGAAUGGAAUUCCUGGCGGAGCGGUGGAAUGCGCAGAUAUCAGGAGGAACACCAGUGGCGAAGGCGGUUCUCUGGGCCUUUCCUGACGCUGAGGAGCGAAAGCGUGGGGAGCGAACAGGCUUAGGUACCCUGGUAGUCCACGCUGUAAACGGUGGGUACUAGGUGUGGGGUCCAUUCCACGGGUUCCGUGCCGUAGCUAACGCUUUAAGUACCCCGCCUGGGGAGUACGGCCGCAAGGCUAAAACUCAAAGGAAUUGACGGGGCCCCGCACAAGCGGCGGAGCAUGCGGAUUAAUUCGAUGCAACGCGUAGAACCUUACCUGGGUUUGACAUGGAUCGGGAGUGCUCAGAGAUGGGUGUGCCUCUUUUGGGGUCGGUUCACAGGUGGUGCAUGGCUGUCGUCAGCUCGUGUCGUGAGAUGUUGGGUUAAGUCCCGCAACGAGCGCAACCCUUGUUCACUGUUGCCAGCACGUUAUGGUGGGGACUCAGUGGAGACCGCCGGGGUCAACUCGGAGGAAGGUGGGGAUGACGUCAAGUCAUCAUGCCCCUUAUGUCCAGGGCUUCACGCAUGCUACAAUGGCUGGUACAGAGAGUGGCGAGCCUGUGAGGGUGAGCGAAUCUCGGAAAGUCGGUCUCAGUUCGGAUUGGGGUCUGCAACUCGACCUCAUGAAGUCGGAGUCGCUAGUAAUCGCAGAUCAGCAACGCUGCGGUGAAUACGUUCCCGGGGCU